GUUAAUAAUUUGCAAGUGAUAUGGAUGCUGAAAUUUUUAUUUCACUUCUUCAACAACUACCAGUGUUGUGGAACUAAUUCUGUGAUGCAAGUUUCUGCUCAAAAAGAAGCAAUGGUCACAGGUGCACGAUGUCAUCAUUUAGCAUAUUGCCACGGACUGUGUUAUUAACGGCAACAUCCCUUAUCUGAAAUAAUUAUUGAACGAGUUCGGGGAUGUCAAACAAAUCUUCAAUCGGUUCAUGGAGGGGCGGAUUUCGAGCGGCUUUAUCGAGCUGAAUGAGAAGUUUGACCUGACCGGCGACGCGAUUGACGACGAGACCAAGGCACUCCAGCCAAAACUGUCAGAUAUGUGCUCUGUGGUCUAAAUGUUCCAAUGCCCGACGCCAAAGCAUCGGUUCUGUCAGAACGAAAUUCCAGCUUAUCUGAUUCGGUCAUUCUUUGCCCCGGAUCCGCGUAUUGAUAGCUGUGAUGCGAAUUGGGCUCGAGAAGCUGCCCCUGCCCCAGGAUUACGUGCUCGAGGAAUUGCGGCAUAUGUUGAGCUCGUUCUUCGACGAGGAUCAGCGGAAGCAGCAAUGGAAUAGUGUUUGAACGAAUUAUGUUAUUUUAAUCGUAAUUUGUUUACUGUAUUAAUGAAAUAAAAAAAAACUCUAGAAUGAAUGGAUGU